rnacentral:rRNA from 1 species
UAUCAUAUUAUCACUAUGAAGAAUCUGAAGGAUCCUAAGACUAAGAUUUAUCCCUCAAGUACGAGGGGAGGUAAGAAACUGCCAUCCAGUUCUGCUUUAGAUUCGCCUUAUGUUAUGAUUAAACUUGCAACACCACCACAUGCUAUUAAUUCUGAUAUGUCGCAAGUUAUUGAUGAUGCUACUUCUACUAUGAAUGAUGCUUAUGAUGAUGCUAGUACCUUGCUUGAUAAUGAUGAUGUGCCACUUGGUGAUUUUCUUGAUGAACGAAUUGCUAGAGUUAUACAACAUGAUGUCGUUGAAUCUAAUGAUGAGCUUGAAACUGAAACUCUUGAAACACCUGCUAGAACUAGCCUUCCUAGAUAUGAAUUGCCUAAGGUACCGGGAGGUUAUGUUAUGAGU